CGGUAGCUAAUACUCCUCCUGACGUCUUCGGACCAAAUGUGGGGGACCUUCNGGCCUCACGCCAUGAGAUGAACCCAGAUGGGAUUAGCUCGGCCGCUGAGGUAACGGCUCACCUAGGCGACGAUCCCUAGACUGGUCUGAGAGGAUGACCAGCCACACUGGAACUGAGACACGGUCCAUACUCCUACGGGAGGCAGCAGUGGGGAAUAUUGCACAAUGGGGGAAACCCUGAUGCAGCCAUGCCGCGUGUGUGAAGAAGGCCUUCGGGUUGUAUAGCACUUUCAGCGGGGGAGGAAGGGGAUGAGGAUAAUAGCCUUAUUCAUUGACGUUACCCGCUAGAAGAAGCAACCGGUCUAACUCCGUGCCAGCAGCCGCGGGUAAUACGGAGGGUGCAAGCGUUAAUCGGAAUGACUGGGCGUAAAGCGCACGCACGCGGUCUGUUAAGUUGGAUGUGAAAUCCCCGGGCUUAACCCCGGGAACAGCUAUUCUAAACUUGACAGGCCUAG
rnacentral:rRNA from 1 species